rnacentral:rRNA from 1 species
UCAUAUGCUUGUCUCAAAGAUUAAGCCAUGCAUGUCUAAGUACACAUCAUUUUACGAUGAAACCGCGAAUGGCUCAUUAUAUCAGACAUAGUUUACUAGAUCAUAUUAACUACUUGGAUAACUGUAGUAAUUCUAGAGCUAAUACAUGCACUAAAGCCCUUACUUUCUGGUAAGAGCGCAGUUAUUAGAUCAAGACCAACCGAAGCUCUGCUUCGUUGUUUUGAUGACUCUGGAUAACAUUAGCUGAUCGCAUGAGCUUGUCUCGGCGACGUAUCUUUCAAAUGUCUGACCUAUCAACUUUCGAUGGUAGGUGAUAUGCCUACCAUGGUUGUAACGGGUAACGGGGAAUCAGGGUUCGAUUCCGGAGAGGGAGCCUGAGAAAUAGCUACCACAUCCAAGGAAGGCAGCAGGCGCGUAAAUUACCCACUCCCGGCACGGGGAGGUAGUGACGAAAAAUAACGAUACGGGACUCUUUCGAGGCCCCGUAAUUGGAAUGAGACGACAUUAAACACUAUGUCGAAAUCUAUUGGAGGGCAAGUCUGGUGCCAGCAGCCGCGGUAACUCCAGCUCCAAUAGCGUAUAUUAAAGUUGUUGCAGUUAAAAAGCUCGUAGUUGGAUCUGAGGAUGUAAGCGUUUAGUUGACCCUAGCGGUUUUACCUAAACGCUUAGCCUACAUAGCCGGUGGUUGUUUACAGUGUUCUUAACUGAACGCUAUAAAUACCCGGCAUUUUUACUUUGAAAAAAUUAGAGUGCUCAAAGCAGACUUAUGUCUGAAUACAUCUGCAUGGAAUAAUAGAAUAGGACUUCGAUCCAGUUCUGUUGGUCUUAUGAAUCGAAGUAAUGAUUAACAGAGACAGACGGGGGCAUUCGUAUUGCGGUGUUAGAGGUGAAAUUCAUGGAUCGCCGCAAGACGAACAACUGCGAAAGCAUUUGCCAAGAAUGUCUUCAUUAAUCAAGAACGAAAGUCAGAGGUUCGAAGACGAUCAGAUACCGUCCUAGUUCUGACCAUAAACGAUGCCAACUGACGAUCCGUGGUGAUUGCUUGGUCGAUCCCGCGGGGAGUCUCCGGGAAACCAAAGUCUUUGGGUUCCGGGGGAAGUAUGGUUGCAAAGCUGGAACUUAAAGGAAUUGACGGAAGGGCACACCAGAAGUGGAGCCUGCGGCUUAAUUUGACUCAACACGGGAAAACUCACCCGGCCCGGACACUGUGAGGAUUGACAGAUUGAAAGCUCUUUCUUGAUUCGGUGGGUGGUGGUGCAUGGCCGUUCGUAGUUGGUGGAGCGAUUUGUCUGGUUAAUUCCGAUAACGAGCGAGACUCACACCUGCUAAAUAGUACACUCGUAUAUAUUACAGCGAGUGCAGACUUCUUAGAGGGACAAGCGGCGCUUAGUCGCACGAAAUUGAGCAAUAACAGGUCUGUGAUGCCCUUAGAUGUCCGGGGCCGCACGCGCGCUACACUGAGUGGAGCAACGAGUUUCUCCUGGUUCGAAAGAAUUGGGUAACCUGUUGAAUCCCACUCGUGACAGGGAUCGGGGCUUGUAAUUAUUCCCCGUGAACGAGGAAUUCCUAGUAAGCGCAAGUCAUAAGCUUGCGCUGAUUGCGUCCCUGCCCUUUGUACACACCGCCCGUCGCUACUACCGAUUGAAUGGCUUAGCGAGGUCUUCGGAUUGUUUUCGACGACUGGCUUGUCUGGUGGUCGAAUGACGAGAAGAAGAUCAAACUUGGUCAUUUAGAGGAAGUAAAAGUCGUAACAAGGUUUCC